AACGAACGCUGGCGGCAUGCCUAACACAUGCAAGUCGAACGAGACCUUCGGGUCUAGUGGCGCACGGGUGCGUAACGCGUGGGAACCUGCCCUUAGGUUCGGAAUAACUCCCCGAAAGGGGUGCUAAUACCGGAUAAUGUCUCCGGACCAAAGAUUUAUCGCCCUUGGAUGGGCCCGCGUUGGAUUAGCUGGUUGGUACGGUAAAAGCCUACCAAGGCGACGAUCCAUAGCUGGUCUGAGAGGAUGAUCAGCCACACUGGGACUGGGACACGGCCCAGACUCCUACGGGAGGCAGCAGUGGGGAAUAUUGGACAAUGGGCGAAAGCCUGAUCCAGCAAUGCCGCAUGAGUGAUGAGGGCCUUAGGGUUGUAAAGCUCUUUUACCCGGGAUGAUAAUGACAGUACCGGGAGAAUAAGCUCCGGCUAACUCCGUG
rnacentral:rRNA from 1 species